rnacentral:rRNA from 1 species
ACGGGAGGCAGCAGUGGGGAAUAUUGGACAAUGGGCGAAAGCCUGAUCCAGCGACGCCGCGUGGGUGAAGAAGGCCUGCGGGUUGUAAAGCCCUUUCGGUUGGGAAGAAAAGUAUUGACCUAACACGUCAGUACCUUGACGUAACCAACAAAAGAAGCACCGGCUAACUCUGUGCCAGCAGCCGCGGUAAUACAGAGGGUGCAAGCGUUAAUCGGAAUUACUGGGCGUAAAGCGCAGGUAGGCGGCUUGAUAAGUCGAGUGUGAAAUCCCCGGGCUUAACCUGGGACCUGCAUUUGAAACUGUCUUGCUAGAGUAUGGGAGAGGGAAGUGGAAUUUCAGGUGUAGCGGUGAAAUGGGUAGAUAUCUGAAGGAACAUCAGUGGCGAAAGCGACUUCCUGGACCAAUACUGACGCUCAGGUGCGAAAGCGUGGGGAGCAAACAGGAUUAGAUACCCUGGUAGUCCACGCCAUAAACGAUGAGAACUAGAUGUUGGGAGGAUUAGCCUCUCGGUGUCGUAGCUAACGCGUUAAGUUCUCCGCCUGGGGAGUACGGUCGCGAGGUUGAAACUCAAAUGAAUUG